rnacentral:lncRNA from 1 species
UCGGAUUUGGGUUUGGCCUCCUAACUUGAUGGUUCAACAUGGGUUGAAAGAUCCUUGAAAUCUAGUCCUAGAUGUUAAGCCUGAUAUACAUUGUUAACAUGGUCUCGAUAUCAAGUUUGCUAGAGAUCAUGAAUUCGAAUCUCCUCCAAUUAAAUUAUUUAUUUAAUUGUUCCCAGUUAUAUGCUAUUGUAAUUUUAGUCUGUUUUGACUCAAUUAUCUCUCCACAUGCAUAAUCUAGGCCACAAAAGGGGGUAUAGGUGUUAAAUCUAAUAUAUAUUGUUGAGCCUUUCCCUAUCUGUUAGCUUGAUUUGAAUAUCCGAUCCUAGGUCCCUCCUUCUUGUCCCUAGUUUGUUUUCAUCUUCAAGGUAUAUAACUAAUGAGUGGACCUAUAAAGGGGUUGAUAGGUUUUGGUAUGGAUCCGUAUAAAAUAAGCAGGUUCAGUAUGGGUUACUUUGCUAAACCUGAUUAUAAAGGAGUUGACAAUGACAUGAGAAUUGUUUAACCAGACCGCAACCCAACCUGCCUAUUGCCAUCCGUAGUAUCACUUAAUUAGGUUGAAGUACUACAAAGAGAUACUAUUUAUCAUAAAUAAGAAGUCAAAUGAAGCAGGCUGGAAACCUCCUAAUUUGCCUAGAGGAUGCAGGCCCAUUUUAUGCCAAGUUCUAUGAUCAAAGGUCUUUAAGGGCCACCAUAAUGGAACAAAAACUGCUAAGGAUCAAGAAGAAGAAAUGGAUGCACCAGAAACUAUGUUGGAAAAAGAUUGAAAGUCAAGGCCUCGAGAUUCAUGCUACAGGCAGAAGAUCAAUACAAGAGCACCAUGGGUGACCCCUUGGGAGCCUAAAACUAAAGGCUAAGCAUAGUAAU